AAUGGGGGAAACCCUGACGCAGCAACGCCGCGUGAAUGAAGAAGGCCUUAGGGUUGUAAAGUUCUGUUUUCUGGGACGAUAAUGACGGUACCAGAGGAGGAAGCCACGGCUAACUACGUGCCAGCAGCCGCGGUAAUACGUAGGUGGCAAGCGUUGUCCGGAUUUACUGGGCGUAAAGGAUGCGUAGGCGGAUGUUUAAGUGAGAUGUGAAAUACCCGAGCUCAACUUGGGUGCUGCAUUUCAAACUGGAUAUCUAGAGUGCAGGAGAGGAAAGCGGAAUUCCUAGUGUAGCGGUGAAAUGCGUAGAGAUUAGGAAGAACACCAGUGGCGAAGGCGGCUUUCUGGACUGUAACUGACGCUGAGGCAUGAAAGCGUGGGGAGCAAA
rnacentral:rRNA from 1 species